rnacentral:rRNA from 1 species
AACGAACGCUGGCGGCAUGCCUAACACAUGCAAGUCGAACGAGACCUUCGGGUCUAGUGGCGCACGGGUGCGUAACGCGUGGGAACCUGCCCUUAGGUUCGGAAUAACUCCCCGAAAGGGGUGCUAAUACCGGAUAAUGUCUUCGGACCAAAGAUUUAUCGCCUUUGGAUGGGCCCGCGUUGGAUCAGCUAGUUGGUAGGGUAAAAGCCUACCAAGGCGACGAUCCAUAGCUGGUCUGAGAGGAUGAUCAGCCACACUGGGACUGAGACACGGCCCAGACUCCUACGGGAGGCAGCAGUGGGGAAUAUUGGACAAUGGGCGAAAGCCUGAUCCAGCAAUGCCGCGUGAGUGAUGAAGGCCUUAGGGUUGUAAAACUCUUUUACCCGGGAUGAUAAUGACAGUACCGGGAGAAUAAGCUCCGGCUAACUCCGUG